CUUGUGAUUUCAAUAGAGGUUUUACAUAAAAAGUUGGGGCUUCACACAAAUCGACCUCUCUAAUCCCUACUUCUCACUGCGCAUCAAGCUCGGCUUCACUCUCUGCGGACGUCCUCGACUUCAGUCUUGGUUCCAGCUCGAGUCAAUAUCAGGAUAAGCUUAAUUUCUUAUAAUGAAGAGAAAAGCAACAACAGCCCCUAACACCAAGAAUACUAUUACAAAAAAGGGGGGAAACACAAGUGCAAGUGCAUUCAUACCAUAGAAUGUGCCAAAUAUGAGUGAAUCAAUAGCAGCAACUCCCACUCCCACUCAUGAUCCCGCUCUUUCUCCUACUCAAUUUAUUUGGACUUUGGUGAAUUCAAUUUACUUUGAAGUUUAGACUUUGAAUUUGUGUUUUAUGGUGUAAAACUAUAAAUUGUGUAAUUUAAUUGAGAUUUUACUUUAGAACUUUGAAA